GGGCCCGCACAAGCGGUGGAGUAUGUGGUUUAAUUCGAUGCAACGCGAAGAACCUUACCAGGGCUUAAAUGCAGUAUGACAGAUUUGGAAACAGAUUUUUCUUCGGACAUAUUGCAAGGUGCUGCAUGGUUGUCGUCAGCUCGUGCCGUGAGGUGUCAGGUUAAGUCCUAUAACGAGCGCAACCCCUAUUUCUAGUUGCCAGCACAUAAUGGUGGGGACUCUAGAGAGACUGCCGGUGCAAACCGUGAGGAAGGUGGGGAUGACGUCAAAUCAUCACGGCCCUUACGUCCUGGGCUACACACGUGCUACAAUGGUAGGGACAGAGAGCAGCCACUUCGCGAGAAGGAGCGAAUCUACAAACCCUAUCUCAGUUCGGAUCGCAGUCUGCAACUCGACUGCGUGAAGCUGGAAUCGCUAGUAAUCG
rnacentral:rRNA from 1 species